UGGGGAAUAUUGGACAAUGGGCGAAAGCCUGAUCCAGCCAUGCCGCGUGAGUGACGAAGGCCUUAGGGUUGUAAAACUCUUUCGUCGGGGACGAUAAUGACGGUACCCGAAGAAGAAGCUCCGGCUAACUUCGUGCCAGCAGCCGCGGUAAUACGAAGGGAGCUAGCGUUGUUCGGAAUUACUGGGCGUAAAGCGCACGUAGGCGGUCGUGUAAGAUGGGGGUGAAAUCCCGGAGCUCAACUCCGGAACUGCCUUCAUGACUGCAUGGCUAGAGGAUGCGAGAGGUUGGCGGAAUUCCGAGUGUAGAGGUGAAAUUCGUAGAUAUUCGGAAGAACACCAGUGGCGAAGGCGGCCAACUGGCGCAUUUCUGACGCUGAGGUGCGAAAGCGUGGGGAG
rnacentral:rRNA from 1 species